UACGAAGGUCCCGAGCGUUAUCCGGAUUUAUUGGGCGUAAAGAGCUCGUAGGCGGCUUGUCGCGUCGUUCGUGAAAACCUACAGCUCAACUGCAGGCUUGCGGUCGAUACGGGCAGACUAGAGUUCGGUAGGGGAGACUGGAAUUCCUGGUGUAGCGGUGAAAUGCGCAGAUAUCAGGAGGAACACCGGUGGCGAAGGCGGGUCUCUGGGCCGAUACUGACGCUGAGGAGCGAAAGCGUGGGGAGCGAACAGG
rnacentral:rRNA from 1 species